rnacentral:lncRNA from 1 species
GAUUCCCCCAAGUUCCAGAUCCAGACUUCCGCGGCCUUCCUCACUUCCCCCAAAUUUCGACGACUCUGCGAGGGUUGAGGGAAGCAACGUCGCUGCCCUCCUCCAAUUUCCACCGGCGCAUCUUACUCACGUCGCCGGUCUACCGCGCCUGAGAUUUGUCACUGCCUUCCCCAGUUCCUCGGCUAAUCCACCGGCGAGUCCCUUCGGCCUUUGCUUGCCUCCGAGUCUGAGCUUCGACGGCGACGGUCUAGCAAUCCCGGCGUAUCUUUGAGACAUUGGUUGCUGCUCAGGGAUCUGGGCCAUCUAGCAACCGCUCCAGUCUUUGGCAGACGCUUAGCGGUAACAAAAUAUGUGUUUUUAAGGGAUAAUUCUGGGCCUUUGCUUUUUUUGAAUGAAUUGCGUAUUAUACAACAAGCAGGGAUGAUUCAGAAUUAUUUCAAUAUUGGUGGAUGUUUGUGGAUGUGAAUGAUUACUCCCACUUUGAAAUGAGUAUUAUUAUUGUUGGAGUUGGAAACGAGUUCUUAAAACUUUGAAAUUAUAUGGAAACCAGCUAUGCAGCAGCACCGCCC